rnacentral:rRNA from 1 species
AUUGAACGCUGGCGGCAGGCCUAACACAUGCAAGUCGAACGGUAACAGGAAGCAGCUUGCUGCUUCGCUGACGAGUGGCGGACGGGUGAGUAAUGUCUGGGAAACUGCCUGAUGGAGGGGGAUAACUACUGGAAACGGUAGCUAAUACCGCAUAACGUCGCAAGACCAAAGAGGGGGACCUUAGGGCCUCUUGCCAUCGGAUGUGCCCAGAUGGGAUUAGCUAGUAGGUGGGGUAACGGCUCACCUAGGCGACGAUCCCUAGCUGGUCUGAGAGGAUGACCAGCCACACUGGAACUGAGACACGGUCCAGACUCCUACGGGAGGCAGCAGUGGGGAAUAUUGCACAAUGGGCGCAAGCCUGAUGCAGCCAUGCCGCGUGUAUGAAGAAGGCCUUCGGGUUGUAAAGUACUUUCAGCGGGGAGGAAGGGAGUAAGGUUAAUACCUUUGCUCAUUGACGUUACCCGCAGAAGAAGCACCGGCUAACUCCGUG